rnacentral:rRNA from 1 species
GAGUUUGAUCCUGGCUCAGAGCGAACGCUGGCGGCAUCGCUUUGACACAUGCAAGUCGAGCGAGAAAGCGGCGUUCUGGUCGCAAGUAUAGCUGGCGGACUGGGUGCAGUAUAACAGUGGAUAACCUGCCUUAAGGACCGGGACAAGCNCUUGGGAAACCAAGGCUAAUACCUGGAUAUGACCUACUGAUGUCUGAGGGCAACGGGGUAAACACGAUGACCGUUGUACGGUUGUCGCCGUUUUGAGGGGUCCACGUCCUAUCAGGUAGUUGGUGGGGUAAAGGCCUACCGAAGCCAAAGACUGGGUAGGCCGGCCUUAGCUGGGUGAUCGGCACGACGGGGACUGAGAACGGCNCCUGAUUCCUACAGGGAGGCAGCAGUGGGGAAUGAUUGGGCAAUCGGGCGAAAUGCCUGACCCAGGGAUGCCUGUGUGAGGGAAGAACGGCCUUCGGGUUGUCAACCUAUGUCAAGGAGGGAAGAAUGGGUCUGCAAAUUCAACCUUGCGGGCUUGACUGUCCCUCCAGAAGGAAGCCCCGGUAACUCCGUGCCAGCAGGCGGGGUAAUACGGAGGGGGCAAGCGUUGCUCGGGAAUUACGUGGGCGUAAAAGACGUCCAGAGGUGGUCUCGCCACGUUCGGUGUGAAAGCCCGGAGCUUAAAUCCGGAAUUGGCAUCAAAGGUGGUGCAUUGAACUCCAGAGAAGGUGGGGGAACACCCGGUGUAAGGGGAAUGGUAAUAUCGGGAGGACACCGU